rnacentral:tRNA from 1 species
AAUAAAGUGCCUGAAUAAAGGGCUAUCUUGAUAGGAUAGAUUAUACAAUUUAAACUUGUCUUUAUUA